UCAGAUUCUCAGGUGAUUUUUCAGAGUCU
rnacentral:piRNA from 1 species